AUGUUGAUGCCCAAGAAGAACCGGAUUACCAUUUAUGAACUCCUUUUUAAGGAGGGAGUGAUGGUAGCCAAGGACAACCACAUGCAUAAGCACCCCGAGCUGGCAGACAAGAAUGUGCCCAAUCUUCAUGUCAUGAAGGCCAUGCAGUCUCUCAAAUCAUGAGGCUACAUGAAGGAACAGUUUGCCUGGAGACAUUUCUACUGGUACCUAACCAACGAGGGUAUCCAUUAUCUCCGGGAUUACCUCCACCUGCCCCCUGAGAUCGUGCCUGCUAACCUGCGCCGCAGUCGUCCUGAGACUGGCAGGCCACAGCCCAAAGGUCUGGAGGGAGAGCGACCUGCGAGACUCACAAGAGGGGAAGCCGACAGAGACACCUACAGAUGAAGCGCUGUGCCCUCUGGUGCCGACAAGAAAGCUGAGGCCAGGGCUGGGUCAGCAACCAAAUUCCAGUUUAGAGGCAGAUUUGGUCGUGGACGUAGUCAGCCACCUCAGUAAAGUUUGGAAGAGAUUAUUUUGUGUUGAAUUAACGUGUAGCCAGAAAAGA